UUGUCUUUUCUUGAUCCUCAAUUUUAGAGGUUAGACUUGACUCUCUUUUUUCAUUGAGCUCAUUUGUUUGUUUCAAGAGCUUAUUCUCAGCUUCAAACUUGGAGAGAGAAUCAGUACUAAGAAGGGCUAUUUCCAGUUCUUCUUGAACUUUUUCUUUUUCCUUUAGAAGAAGUGAAUAGUCUUUAGAUAGAACUCUAAACCACUUCAUGUAUUGAUGCAGAUCAGAG
rnacentral:lncRNA from 1 species